rnacentral:rRNA from 1 species
ACUCCUACGGGAGGCAGCAGUGGGGAAUCUUAGACAAUGGGGGCAACCCUGAUCUAGCCAUGCCGCGUGAGUGAUGAAGGCCCUAGGGUUGUAAAGCUCUUUCAGCUGGGAAGAUAANGACGGUACCAGCAGAAGAAGCCCCGGCUAACUCCGUGCCAGCAGCCGCGGUAAU